CAGUCGCCGCGGUAAUACGUAGGUGGCAAGCGUUGUCCAGAAUUAUUGGGCGUAAAGGGCUCGCAGGCGGUUUCUUAAGUCUGAUGUGAAAGCCCCCGGCUCAACCGGGGAGGGUCAUUGGAACCUGGGAAACUUGAGUGCAGAAGAGGAGAGUGGAAUUCCACGUGUAGCGGUGAAAUGCGUAGAGAUGUGGAGGAACACCAGUGGCGAAGGCGACUCUCUGGUCUGUAACUGACGCUGAGGAGCGAAAGCGUGGGGAGCGAACAGGAUUAGAGACCCCGGUAGUCCCUGUCUUUAUACA
rnacentral:rRNA from 1 species